rnacentral:rRNA from 1 species
AUCCUGGCUCAGGAUGAACGCUAGCGGCAGGCUUAAUACAUGCAAGACGAACGGUAAGUUUGGUAGCAAUACUGAACCUAGAGUGUCGUACGGGUGCGUAACACGUAUGCAACCUACCUUGUACAGGAGUAUAGCUCGGUGAAAACCGAAUUAACCCUCCAUAAUAUCAUUUGGUGGCAUCAUCGAAUGAUUAAAACUGAGGUGGUACAAGAUGGGCAUGCGUUUGAUUAGUUAGUUGGCAGUGUAACGGACUACCAAGACGAUGAUCAAUAGGGGACCUGAGAGGGUGAUCCCCCACACUGGCACUGAGAUGCGGGCCAGACUCCUACGGGAGGCAGCAGUAGGGAAUAUUGGACAAUGGGUGAGAGCCUGAUCCAGCCAUGCCGCGUGCAGGAAGAAGGCGUUAUGCGUUGUAAACUGCUUUUGCCAGGGGAUAAAACGGUUCUGCGGAACUAAUUGAAGGUACCUGGUGAAUAAGCCACGGCUAACUACGUG